rnacentral:pre_miRNA from 1 species
AAUAUAAGCAUCUGUUGACUUUCAGACGUCACGUUUGACCAUCCGUCUUAUUUAAAAAUUUGGUGAAUAUAUUAUUUAUUUUGUUAUGAUUUGUUUUAUCAUUUGGUAUAUUUUAAGUAUGACUUAUUUGUUUUUAUAUUCUAUAAAUUUUUGGAAUAAGACAGAUAGUCAAACGUGAUGUGCGAAAAUCGAUAAAUGCUUAUAUA